GCGGGGCGCAGCCCCUGAGGGCCCGGCGGGAUCCCUCUGCCCCCUCCCCCCCCGCCCCCCGGUAAAGCCUGGGGGCACAAAGCCGGCUCUGCCGCGGGAGCGUGCUCCAAAACCACACAAAACCACCAUUUUUUUUUUGGUCGCUUCUACAGCCCCGUUUAUAAAUCUCUGCGUUGAGAACCCCACCACGCUGUCUCUGGUCUCCACAGAAGGUGCUGAGGAACUCUGAGCAAGUUCUGCCAAUGGUGUGAAGGAAUCGGUCCAACAGUGAAACAUGCAAGAUGAACAGAAGGCUUUUACCUAUCGUGAAAGACGUUUGAGAGUCAGAGAUAAAAUGAGAUAAAAGAAAUCAAGAGGGCCUUGCCUUUCUUCUCAGCACAAAAAGAGGAUGCGUACCGGCCAACGUACCCAGGAUGUCAGCACUGGAAAUGCUGUCCAUCGCCACCAUCAAAUCCUGAGGUGAGAAAUCCCCCCUCUUUCUCCCCGCUGAACUCAGGUGUGGCUGUGCUCUAUCAACAGCAGAAGUCAGAAACCCCUACCAGGUGCCACACAGAGCUGCUCACGACACAUUGGGUGGAGAAGUAGCCUUGUUCGUGUAUUGCCAUGGGUGACUGCUGCUUUUGGGUACUUUCCUAGCUGCUAAAGCCACCAGGAUUUGACGAUGGAGGCUUUGCUGGAAGGAAUGCAAAGAAACGGGCAGGGGAGCGGUGGGUUCUUGACUUCCUGUGAGGCUGAGCUGCAGGAGCUGAUGAAGCAGAUUGACAUUAUGGUGGCUCACAAGAAAUCUGAAUGGGAAGGACAGACACAGGCUCUGGAAGCUUGCCUGAGUGUUCGAGAGCAGGAACUUUCCUCUGCCAGGGCUGCUCUGCAGGAAAAACAUAAGGAGGUUGGCAUGUUGCGUCGUCAGGUAGAAGACACGGAAAAAGCUAAGCAGGACAUGGUUAGAGAAUACGAACAACAGCUGAAGAAAUUUCAAGAGGAGUUGUCCAGGCUGAGGAGGAGCUAUGAGAAGCUGCAGAAGAAACAACGAAGAGAAACUAGAGAAGAAGCUAACAAGAGACAAGGGGAGGACCAGUUUGAAAUGAGCCGACUGACCAGGAAGCUGGAGGAGUUUCGUCAAAAAUCACUUGACUGGGAGAAGCAGCGCUUGCUUUACCAGCAGCAGGUGGCAUCGCUGGAAGCACAGAGGAAGGCUUUGGCUGAGCAGUCUGAGCUCAUUCAGCAGACUCAGCUUGCCAAUCGGAAACAGAUUCUGGAGUCAGUGGAGCUGGCUAGCAGAUCGGAAAUCCAGCACUUAACCAGCAAGCUGGAGAGGGCCAAUGAUGCUAUCUGUGCCAACGAGUUGGAGGUGGAGAGACUUAACAUGAGAGUGGACGACCUGACUGAAAACAAUCGGAUGAUUCUGGAAGAUCAGCAAAGAGUUCAAGAAGAAUUAAGGCAAUCCAAGAAAAUGUUGGAGGUGCUACAGGAUGAGAAGAUGGAACUUAGAGCCACAUUGCAGUCUCAGGAAGAUUUCAUUGACAGCACCAAGCUGCACCACGAACAGUUACAGAAAGAGCUGGCCAGGGUGACUGAAACUCUUCGCACAAAAGAACUCCUCAUCAGGGCCUUGGAGGAACGCUUGCAAGAGAAAGAAUUGUCUUCUCCGGGGCUGGAGCACAUUCUGCUGCAGCUGGAUGUUGCCCAGAAGAAGGAACAGCACUUACAGUCAGAAGUGACUCAUCUUGAGAACAGCCUGGUGUCUUCAAAUGCAAGGUGUGUACAGCUGAGCGAAGAACUGGAUGAGAAUAUCAAAGAGCUGCAGUCGAUGGAAGAACACCAUACCGAGUUAAAGGCGGAGAUUAAAAAGCUGAAAGAGCAGCUCUCUCGAGCUGAACAAACUCACAACAGUGAGCUAGAAGGGAUGAAAAGGGAAAUCUCCAGGUUGACACAAGAGUUACACCAGCGGGACAUCACAAUCGCGUCUGCAAGUGGCUCCACAUCAGACCUAGAACAACAGCUGAGAACAGAGAUUGAAAGAGCAGAGAGGAAAGCGGUGGAGCACAGGGUAAUUCUGGUCCAGCUGGAAACCUUGAGGCUGGAAAACCGUCAUCUCUCAGAGAUGCUGGAAAAAACGGAGUGCGGUAUGCUAGAGGGAAAAGGUGUCAGCCUAAGAGCACUCACUGAAGACUAUGCCGUUGAACUAAAUAAAUUAAAAUCUGAGAACCAGCAAUUGCGGAAGGAUCUAGCGGAGGCCAGAGCAAAACUGGAGCUCACUCAGCAGGUCUGCCAGGAUGAACCCGAGGGCACUGCUCAGCAGAUGCAGGAUGAAGAGCCCGAGGCUGGGGAUGUGCAGUACAGGACAACUGGGGAAGCACAGCACAAAUGUGAUGAACAAGCAGAGAGAAGACAUCACAAGCCUGGUGGGACUAUUCAGCAUCAUCAAGGGGAGCCCCAGAGAUGGGGGGCUGCUGAAAUAGGAGCUGUGACCCCUGAGAUGGGUGAGCUGCCCACCCAGACCAGCAGGAAGAACUGCACGGAGUCACUUGCUUUGGGCACCUUGCUGGGAACGGAUUCUUUACUCCAUGAGCUGGAUGAAAACAAAGAUUUUGCAGAUGAAGCAUCUAAGCAGUCUGUCUCAAAUGAUCAGAGAGAAUCUGUGCCUCUGUGCCCCCUGCCUACAGCUUCAGUUGGAUCGAUAGCUGCAAGAUACCUGGAAGAGGAAGAACUGAGAUCCCAUCACAUCCUGGAGUGCCUAAAUGCUCACAUUGAGGAACUGAAAAUAGAGAGUGAAAAGAUAGUGAGACAAUUUGGACACCAGGACUAAUGUUUCUUACUGAAUUUGAAUGCUGGUUCCAAACUGCCACCAAGGAGGUACCUAUAAACCAGUUGCCAUUGGAGCUUGGGUGGGAGGCUGGAUGUCCCCGCUUGGAGCUGAAUGGAUGGAUAUUGUGGAAAGGAAACUCCUCUCUAAUGUGUUUGAUUUGAUGGAGGGUAUUACACCACAAACACUUCAGUCGGCUUGCUGUAGGUCAGAAAGCUGCAUCAGAGUUCUACAGAAUAGCUGAGGAAUGAAUGGCUGAAUUCUGAUUGUGGCCACAGCCCCUAAAAAGAAAGGAGAGUAGUGGGAACUGGAGAUGAAAUUGAACGGGAGGAGAACCACCAAACAAGGGAGGUCCAUCUGUACGGCAGACGGAGUUGCAACUGCUGUGUAAGCUGGAUCAGCCUGCUUUGAAUCUAGGCAGUCUCGGACACUGUCCGGUCAAGUUGAACUGCUGCAUUAAAAUACAUCUGUGACCUGUUUUGAGGAAUGUAUUCAGUAUUUCCUCCAGGAAGGUAAGCUGUUGGUGAGUGAACAGAAUCUGUUUCCUACAGAUUUGCUUUUUUUCCAGGAGUAGUCUGCAGUUCUUCUGUGGCUGAGCCUUCCCAGCCUUUGUACAGGCAAACCUAGGGACGGAGACAUCCCUUGUCCAUGUGUGUUACGUUUUCUGUUCCUUUCCAUCAGCUUCACCUUGUCUUAGAGCAGGUGUUGAGAAAUAGGAAUUCCAAAGCAACAUAAGCAUUCAAAACCCAACCAUCGGACUAGGCAGAUGAGUUCAGCAAAGGGGAUGCCUGUCUGCAGGCUGCAGCCUCUUCCUCGUGCCAUAAAAUGGGACCGCACUUGGUCAAGCAGUUCUGCAUUCCGGAGUUCAAAAAAACAUUUGCAUCAACAAGUCCUUUCAUUUUGGCUUUCUUCUGGAGUUCUCUGAACGAGGAUAAAACCUUGGAUUCUCAUUGUGCAGUCUGUGUGAUGAGGUGUUGAACCGCCCGCAGCUGGGGAUAAGCUCCGGUCGUGCUUUUUGCUCACAGUCAGCAUUGGCCUCUGUUCCUGGUCGGAGCUCUCCACAGGAUUUUCUGCUGCUUUGAACUUUUUUGAGCCCUUGGUCUUGCAAAAGCCUGCAAGUGGUGUCCUGCCUCCGUUGAAAGAACAGAUUUGAUCGAGAGA